GACAGAGGGUGCGAACGUUGCUCGGAGUUACUGGGCGUAAAGCGCGUGUAGGCGGGUGAUCAAGUCAGGUGUGAAAUCCCCAGGCUCAACCUGGGAACUGCACUUGAAACUGGUUGCCUUGAGUGCUGGAGAGGGAAGCGGAAUUCCUGGUGUAGAGGUGAAAUUCGUAGAUAUCAGGAGGAACACCGGUGGCGAAGGCGGCUUCCUGGACAGUUACUGACGCUGAGACGCGAAAGCGUGGGGAGCAAACAGG
rnacentral:rRNA from 1 species